CGGUAAUUCCAGCUCCAAUAGCGUAUACUAAAGUUGUUGCAGUUAAAAAGCUCGUAGUUGGAUUUCUGCGGGGACGGAGCGGCCGGACGCAACUUGCGUCUCGAGCUAGCGCUUUCCCCGCAUCCUGCCGCGAACCGUGCUACCAUUAGUUUGGUGGCGCUGGGGAUCGGCUCGAUUACUUUGAGAAAAAUAGAGUGUUCAAAGCAGGCCACACGCCUUGAAUAAGUUAGCAUGGAAUAAUGACUAAGGACUUUGGUUCUUUUCGUUGGUGUUCGGGACUGAAGUAAUGAUUGAUAGGGACAGUUGGGGCGGUCCGUAUUCCAAAGCGAGAGGUGAAAUUCUUAGACCUUCGGAAGACGAACAGCUGCGAAAGCGUUCCGCAAGGAUGUUCCCUUUGAUCAAGAACGAAAGUUGGGGGAUCGAAGACGAUCAGAUACCGUCGUAGUCUCAACUAUAAACUAUACCAGCUAGGGAUCGGCCAACGUUUAAUUAUUCGACUUGGUCGGCACCUUAUGAGAAAUCAAAGCAUCUGGGUUCCGGGGGGAGUAUGGUCGCAAGGCUGAAACUUAAAGGAAUUGACGGAAGGGCACCACCAGCCGUGGAGCCUGUGGCUUAAUUUGACUCAACACGGGAAAACUUACCAGGUCCAGACAUAGGAAGGAUUGACAGAUUGAUAGCUCUUUCUUGAUUCUGUGGGUGGUGGUGCAUGGCCGUUUUUAGUCGGUGAAGUGAUUUGUCUGCUUAAUUGCGUUAACGGACGAGACCCCAGCCUGCUAAAUAGCGCGGCCGAGCUUUGCUCGGUGCGAGCUUCUUAGAGGGACCAUGAUGCGCGAUAGCACAAGGAAGUUUGGGGCAACAACAGGUCUGUGAUGCCCUUAGAUGUUCUGGUCCGCACACGGGCUACACUGGCUGGCGCCUGCAACGAGCAUAUCAGCUGGCCCGAGAGGGUCUUGGCUAAUCUUUGGAACCGGCGCCGUGCUUGGGAUUGACCAUUGCAAUUGUUGGUCAUGCAACGAGGAAUGCCUUGUAAACGCGAGUCAUCAGCUCGCAUUGAAUACGUCCCUGCCCUUUGUACACACCGCCCGUCGCUCCUACCGAUGAAUGUUCCGAUGAAAUUUUCGGAGAGCGCCAGAGAACGGGGCUCUGCCUUGCAGAUCUGGAGGCUCAAAGUCACUUAAAUCUGAACAUUUCGAGGAAGGAGAAGUCGUAACAAGGUAACC
rnacentral:rRNA from 1 species